CAUCGUCACCGACUGCUUCUCCUACUAAGUCGCCAACGGCUUCUCCUCCGGUGGCCACUCCCCCGUCUCCAACACCUUCUCCAUCCACCACUCCUUCUGCCCCUGCUCCCGCCCCAUCCACCGUAUCACCACCAGCCUCUACUCCAUCUCCUACAUCGGGUUCUCCUCCCGCACCUCCAACGAGUCCUGCUUCGCCACCCACCACUGGUGCCUCACCGUCUCCUUCCAUCAGCAC
rnacentral:lncRNA from 1 species